rnacentral:rRNA from 1 species
UUAUGAGACCGGCGCACGGGUGCGUAACGCGUAUGCAAUCUGCCUCUCACUGGGGAAUAGCCCGGAGAAAUCCGGAUUAAUGCCCCAUGGUAUUUUAGGGUGGCAUCACCUUAUUAUUAAAGAUUUAUCGGUGAGAGAUGAGCAUGCGUCCCAUUAGUUAGUUGGUGUGGUAACGGCACACCAAGACGAUGAUGGGUAGGGGUCCUGAGAGGGAGAUCCCCCACACUGGUACUGAGACACGGACCAGACUCCUACGGGAGGCAGCAGUGAGGAAUAUUGGUCCAUGGGCGCAAGCCUGAACCAGCCAUGCCGCGUGCAGGACGACGGCCCUAUGGGUUGUAAACUGCUUUUGUACGGGAAGAAACCGUUCUACGUGUAGAACUUUGACGGUACCGUAAGAAUAAGGAUCGGCUAACUCCGUGCCAGCAGCCGCGGUAAUACGGAGGAUCCAAGCGUUAUCCGGAAUCAUUGGGUUUAAAGGGUCCGUAGGCGGCCUUGUAAGUCAGUGGUGAAAUCUUUCGGCUCAACCGGAAAAUUGCCAUUGAUACUGCAAGGCUUGAAUUAUUGGGAAGUAACUAGAAUAUGUAGUGUAGCGGUGAAAUGCUUAGAGAUUACAUGGAAUACCGAUUGCGAAGGCAGGUUACUACCAAUUAAUUGACGCUGAUGGACGAAAGCGUGGGGAGCGAACAGGAUUAGAUACCCUGGUAGUCCACGCCGUAAACGAUGGAUACUAGCUGUUCGGUUGCAAGACUGAGUGGCUAAGCGAAAGUGAUAAGUAUCCCACCUGGGGAGUACGAACGCAAGUUUGAAACUCAAAGGAAUUGACGGGG